rnacentral:rRNA from 1 species
GAUGAACGCUAGCGGCAGGCUUAAUACAUGCAAGUCGAGGGGCAUCAGGGGUAGCAAUACUCGCUGGCGACCGGCAAACGGGUGCGGAACACGUACAGAACCUUCCUUUAAGUGGGGGAGUAGCCCACGAGAAAUUUAGGUAUUAAUACCCCGUAACCAUUAUGUUGUGGCAUCACAUUAUAAUUAUAGAUUAUCGCUAGAGAUGGCUGUGCGGCUGAUUAGGUAGUUGGCGGGGUAACGGCCCACCAAGCCUUCGAUCAGUAACUGGUGUGAGAGCACGACCAGUCACACGGGCACUGAGACACGGGCCC